rnacentral:pre_miRNA from 1 species
AUCUAGGGCCUGAUUCAAAGCCCAUUGAAACCAAUGGGCAUCUUUCCACUGAUUUCAAUGGAUUUUGGAUCAGGCCCAUAUAAU